rnacentral:rRNA from 1 species
GCCGCGCCCCGCGCCCGUCCCGCCGCCCCCGCCCGACGGGGUGCAGCAGGCGCGAAACCUUUACACUGCACGCCAGUGCGAUAAGGGGACCCCGAGUGCGAGGGCAUACAGUCCUCGCUUUUCUGUAUCGUAAGGUGAUACAGGAACAAGUGCUGGGCAAGACCGGUGCCAGCCGCCGCGGUAAUACCGGCAGCACGAGUGAUAGCCACUUUUAUUGGGCCUAAAGCGUCCGUAGCCGGCCGAACAGGUCCGUCGGGAAAUCCACCCGCCUAACGGGUGGGCGUCCGGCGGAAACCAGUCGGCUUGGGACCGGGAGACCAGAGGGGUACGUCGAGGGUAGGAGUGAAAUCCCGUAAUCCUCGACGGACCGCCGGUAGCGAAAGCGCCUCUGGAGAACGGAUCCGACGGUGAGGGACGAAAGCUUGGGUCUCAAACCGGAUUAGAUACCCGGGUAGUCCAAGCUGUAAACGAUGCUCGCUAGGUGUGAGGCAGGCUACGAGCCUGCCUUGUGCCGUAGGGAAGCNGNU